rnacentral:ncRNA from 1 species
CAUAAAGGGGAGCUGAAAGGCUGAGAAAGGUAAUAACCUGACCCUGAAAACCUGAUUUGGAUAAUGCCAGCGGAGGGAUUAUGGAA